UACGUGUCAAUUUUGAUGAGAAUGUAAAAUCUAAUGGCCGGAACUUCCACUCGUAUUCGCCUAUUAUUCCUAGUUGUUCUAUGCUUUUCUUACGUCAUAUGCAACAAUGGCGCGAUCCCUUUCACAAGUAACUUAUCCUUCGAUUCUCCGAGUGUUCUUCCAUGUUCAAUGUGUUUUUUUUUCUUUUUUUUUUUUUAACUUUUUGGAAUUGCAGGAAGUAGAAACCUGAUGAAGGAACCUCAAAGUUAUGAAGUUGGAAAAGUGGUACUUCUGUCGGUACUCAACCUAAUUAUUGUCUUAAUUUACUUGCAAUAUCCUUGUCCUAAAUAAUUAGUUAAAUGUGUGAUGCAGGAAAAGAUUGUGAAAAGCUGGAAAACGGAUAGUCGAAUAUUCAGAAGAAUGGAGAUUGAGGUGAACGACUAUCCGGGUUCUGGGGCGAAUAACCGCCACACACCAAGGUCACAAGCAGGAAGAAGUUGUACAAUUGAUUGCUAAACAAUGUUAAUUAAUUAAUCUUUGGGUAAUAUUUAUUAUAUUUGUUUGUUUUAAACCUGUAAACAUG
rnacentral:lncRNA from 1 species